CCAUGUCCAGCAGCAUAAUCUGCCCUGUGA
rnacentral:tRNA from 1 species